GAUUAAAGGUAUUCCGGUAGACGAUGGGGAUGCGUUCCAUUAGAUAGUAGGCGGGGUAACGGCCCACCUAGUCUUCGAUGGAUAGGGGUUCUGAGAGGAAGGUCCCCCACAUUGGAACUGAGACACGGUCCAAACUCCUACGGGAGGCAGCAGUGAGGAAUAUUGGUCAAUGGGCGAGAGCCUGAACCAGCCAAGUAGCGUGCAGGAUGACGGCCCUAUGGGUUGUAAACUGCUUUUAUAAGGGAAUAAAGUGGGAGUCGUGACUCUUUUUGCAUGUACCUUAUGAAUAAGGACCGGCUAAUUCCGUG
rnacentral:rRNA from 1 species